GAUGAACGCUGGCGGCGUGCUUAACACAUGCAAGUCGAACGAUUAAGACAUUCUUCGGAGUGUGCAUAAAGUGGCGAACGGGUGAGUAACACGUGGGUAAACUGCCCCUCUCUCUGGGAUAACCCCCGGAAACGGGAGCUAAUACCGGAUACUCCGAUCGGGUCGCAUGGCCUGAUCGGGAAAGCUCCGGCGGAGAGGGAUGGACCCGCGGCCCAUUAGCUCGUUGGUGAGGUAACGGCUCACCAAGGCGACGAUGGGUAGCCGAGCUGAGAGGCUGAUCGGCCACACUGGGAGUGAGACACGGCCCAGACUCCUACGGGAGGCAGCAGUGGGGAAUCUUGCGCGAUGGGCGAAGGCCUGAAGCAGCAACGCCGCGUGCGGGAUGAAGGCCUUCGGGUCGUAAACCGCUUUCAGCAGGGACGAAAAAAGACUGUACCUGCAGAAGAAGCCCCGGCUAAAUACGUGCCAGCAGCCGCAGUAACAC
rnacentral:rRNA from 1 species